AUGAGGAGUAAGAGACAGAGGACUGCAAAGUCUUUUGGUGAUGAUUUCAUUGUGUACCUCGUGGAUGACACACCCAGGACUAUUUCAGAAGCCUAUGCAUCUCCUGAUGCUGACUACUGGAAGGAAGCUGUACGUAGCGAGAUGGAUUCCAUCUUAGCUAACGGUACCUGGGAGAUCACUGACCGUCCUUAUGGGUGCAAACCUGUAGGAUGUAAGUGGGUGUUCAAGAAGAAGCUUAGACCUGAUGGUACGAUUGAAAAGUACAAGGCACGGCUUGUGGCCAAGGGUUAUACCCAGAAAGAAGGUGAAGACUUCUUUGAUACUUACUCACCCGUAGCUAGACUGACCACAAUUCGGGUGCUACUAUCAUUGGCUGCCUCACAUGGUCUUCUCGUUCAUCAAAUGGAUGUUAAGACGGCUUUCCUCAAUGGAGAGUUGAAGGAGGAAAUUUACAUGGAUCAGCCAGAUGGUUUUGUAGUACCUGGUCAAGAAGGAAAGGUGUGCAAGUUAUUAAAGUCUUUAUAUGGCCUUAAACAAGCUCCUAAGGAGUGGCAUGAGAAGUUCGAAAGAACAUUAACUGCUGCCGGCUUUGUAGUAAACGAUGGUGACAAGUGCGUGUACUAUCGCUAUGGUGGGGGCGAAGGAGUUAUUCUUUGUCUGUAUGUCGAUGACAUAUUGAUCUUUGGAACCAAAUUUGAUUUAAUCAAGGAGGUUAAGGAUUUCUUAUCUCGCCGUUUUGAGAUGAAGGAUCUAGGAGUAGCUGAUGUUAUCUUAAACAUCAAGCUGUUGAGAGAUGAGAAUGGUGGGAUCACACUGCUUCAGUCUCAUUAUGUGGAAAAGGUCUUGAGUAGUUUUGGGUAUAGCGACUGCACGCCUUAUCCAACUCCAUAUGAUGCUAGUGUGUUGCUUCGAAAGAAUCGACGGAUUGCUAGAGAUCAACUGAGGUAUUCUCAAAUUAUUGGCUCGCUUAUGUAUUUGGCAAGUGCCACGAGGCCUGACAUCUCUUUUGUUGUGAGCAAGCUGAGUCGGUUUGUGUCAAAACCGGGAGAUGAUCAUUGGCAUGCGCUUGAGAGAGUUAUGCGCUAUUUGAAAGGCACCGCGAGCUAUGGGAUUCACUACACCGGGUAUCCAAGGGUAUUGGAGGGUUAUAGUGACUCAAACUGGAUAUCUGAUGCUGAUGAGAUUAAGGCCACAAGUGGUUAUGUUUUUAAACUUGCUAGUGGCGCUAUUUCCUGGAAGUCUUGCAAGCAGACCAUCUUAACGAGGUCAACUAUGGAAGCAGAACUCACAACAUUAGACACUGCCACUGUUGAAGCAGAGUGGCUUCGUGAACUCUUGAUGGACUUACCUAUGGUUGAAAAACCAAUACCCCCUAUCCUGAUGAACUGUGAUAAUCAAACUGUGAUCAUCAAGAUAAACAGUUCUAAGGACAAUAUGAAGUCUUCAAGGCAUGUGAAGAGGAGACUAAAAUCUGUUAGAAAAUUGAGGAACUCCGGAGUUAUUACAUUGGAUUAUAUCCAAACAUUGAAAAACUUGGCAGAUCCCUUCACAAAGGGUCUAUCAUGUAAUGUGAUAGAUAAUGCAUCGAUGGAGAUGGGUUUGAGACCCACUGCAUGA
rnacentral:rRNA from 1 species